GCGUAACAAGGUCUCCGUUGGUGAACCAGCGGAGGGAUCAUU
rnacentral:rRNA from 2 species